AAUACAGAAAUGCACACAUAAAAUACAUUAGUACAGAAAUUUUAUUAAUUGGAAAUAUUUCAUAGUGACAUCCCAGGCAAAUUACCUUUAGUAGUUGCUUUAAAAUGCUUACAAUAAGUGUAAUAUUGAGAUCUGUUAGUGGAUAGUCAAGUAUAUUCUAUUUUUGAAACUGCAUAUUACACACAAAUGUUAUUAAUUUCGAAUUAUAUCAGGCAGGGUUUGUAGUCAUUUAAAAACUUGUUCGUGAAAUUGUGUCCCAUCACUAAUACUAUAGAGAACAGAAACGAAAAGACAGUGUUAUGUAAUCUUUGAUAAACAAAGAGUCAAUGAGACUCUUGGUCGUGAGAAUCUUUUAUUCAAAAUUAUACUACGGUUUUAAGAGGGGGGCGGAAUCUUACUCUUCCAAAAAGAAAUUAUACACGAAUGUCCCUAAUGCACUGCUAGGUAUUUUAGGAUCUGGACCUUAGACCUGUUGACACCAUUAAAGGAUCAAACUGCGCAGAAGUCAGUCCCACGUCUGAACAGUCUUCAAUUCCUCCAUUCCUUACUUUUGUUACGUGUAGUCUGUAUUUGCAUAAGCGCGAUGACCAACAGGGUUACCAGAUUUAACAUAAAAAUAUAGGACGCCCAGCUGAAUUUGAAUUCCAAACAAUUUUUAAGUACAAACACUAAAAAGUAUUCGUUUACCUGAAAUUCGAAUUUUACUGGACGUUCUGUAUUACAUCGGGCAAACUGCUUACUUCAAGAUGAUUUGUUAACUUACAGAAAUCUCAGUAUGUGAGGCAGAAAGUAAGUAGCCUGGACCAACAGCAAAUAAGUAUCACGGCAGGAGGCCUUCUUCUAAACUUGGCCUUAAAAAAAAAAAACAAAAAACCACCCACCCAUAAGUCCCAGGAGCCUGCGCAUUAAAGCGAGCUGUACAGUGGCUUUCCCGCCGGUUUUCCGCGAAAUGCAGCACAGUGGGCACCCGCAGGGCGGAGUGUAAAUGGCCGUGUCCUUGCGGGAUAGGAAAGGAGGUGCCGGAAACUUUGAACCCCGGCCAGAGCACAACGUGUCCACUUAGACGGCGAUGCUGGCUAUCUGUUCUUCUUCAACUAUUAAUUGGCAUGUAUGGAGAACUUCACAGACAGUGAGGUCAGGAAUUCAGGCAGGGCUCAGUGUGGAUGGCUCCUCUCUGCUCUGUGAUGUCUGUGGCCUCAGCUGAAAUGGCCUGAACAGCUGAGAGCUGGCUGGGCCUCUCUCCUCUUCAUGGUAUCACCUGGAGUGACUCAAGAGGGAUUUGGGGAUGAAACAUGGCCUCACUUCCAAUGUCUGGGCACUUUGGUUAUCUCCCUGGUGGCCUCUCAUCACUCAGUAAUGUAGUCUGACAUUGCAGUGUGGCUGGCUUCCAAGAGUGAAAGCAGGUGCUUAUGAGGCCUCUAGAGACCUAAAUUUGGAAUUCUCAGAAUGUCACUUCUGCAUUCUAUUAAUCAAAGCAAGUCACCAGCCAGACCAGAUUCAAGGGGUAGGGAAACAAAUGCCACCUCAUGAUGGGAAAAGGAGCACUUGUGAACAGAUUGUAGGAGGCAUUGUUGGCAGCCAUCUUUGGAGACAACCUACCACAGGUUUCAAGAGCUAAUCUGAUAAGCUAAACACUGCUUCUGAGAGAAUGCUAGAAGACUCCUCCAUCUUCCACAGAGAAGAAAUGUCUUAACCUUCAGGUAUCUAAUCUUGGGAUUGACUCUUAAUGACUCUACAAUUGAGUAAGGAGGAGGAAGCAUCAUACACAUUAGGGUACAAGUGAAGAGGAAGAAGCUGAGGAGGUUUUACAAUAAAACUAUUCUAAUAUGAGUGUUUUCUAACUAGUCUGCUCUUCCAGACUAAGCUUCAGAUAAGCUAUAGCCUACUUUUUAGCUUUCUUUUGUGAAUCAAUACUUAAGUUAUUUUUAACAUUGUGUUAUUUUCUAGAUUACUUUUAACUUCCUGGACUCUAGAACUAAGCAGUGUUAGCAUUCUUUGCUAUCUUGUCCCAUCUGUUAACUUUUCUCUAUAAGAUGGAACAUUUUACUAACACUUUGUAAGUACUUAAAAAUGCUUAAGUGACUAAAGAGAGUCUUGACUUUUACAGUCUUCAGCGAGUAUAUAAUCACUGGCCCUCUCAAAAAUACCUCCUGGGAUGAAGGGAUCAGUCAACAAGAGGAUAUAACUCUUGUAAAUAUUUAGACAUCCAACAUAGGAGCACCUAAAUAAAGCAAAUAUUGAGAGACCGAACGGGAGAAAUAGACAGCAAGACAAUAAUAACAAGGGGCUUUAAUACUCCACUUACACCAAUGGGCAGAUCAUCCAGAAAGAAAAUCAAUAAGGAAACAUCAGCCUUAAGUGACAGGUUAGAUCAGAUGGAUUUAAAGAGAUAUUUAUACAGAACAUUCCAUUCACAAGCAACAGAAUAUACAGUUCUUCUUAAGAGCACAGGGGACAUUCUCCAGGAUACAUCAUAUGUUAGGCCACAAAACAAGUCUUAACAAAUUUAAGACUGAAAUCAUAUCAACCAUAUUUUCUGACUACAAUGGUAUGAAACUAGAAAUUGGAUAUAAGAAGAAAAGUGGAAAAUUCAAAUAUAUAGAGAUUAAACAACAUGCUACUGAUCAGUGGGUCAAUGAAGAAAUCAAAGAGGAAAUCAAAAAAUAUCUUGAGACAAAAGAAAAUGGAAAUACAACAUACCAAAACCUAUUGGAUGCAGCAAAAGGAGUUCAAGAGGGAGGUUCCUAGCAAUAAAUGCCUACCUCAAGAAACAAGAAAAAUCUCAAUUAUACAGCUCAAGGAAUUAGAAAGUAAACAAAGUCCAAAGUUAGAAGGAAGAAAAUACCAAAGAUCAAAGCAGAAAUAAAUAAAAUAGGGACCAAAAAGACAACAGAAAGAUCAAUGAAACCAAGAGCUGGUUCUUAGAAAAGAUAAACAAAAUUGACAAACCAGUAGCUAGACUCACCAAGAAAAAAGUGACCAGGACUCAUAAAUACAACUGGAAACAAAAGAGGAGACAUUACAACUGAUACUACAGAAAGGCAAAGGAUCAUAAGAGACUACUAUAAACAAUUAAAUGCCAACAAAUUGGACAACCUAGGAGAAAGAUAAGUUCCUAGAAACAUACGACCUUCUAAGCCUGAAUCACGAAGAAAUAGGAAAUCUGAACAGACUGAUUACUAGGAAGGAGAUUGAAUCAAUAAUAAAAAAAAAUCUCCUAACAAACAAAAGUUCAGGACCAGAUGGCUUCACGGGUGAAUUCUGCCCAAGACUCAAAUAAGAAUUAAUAUCAAUCCUUCUCAAACUCUUCCACAAAACAGAAGAGGAAAGAAUACUUCCUAAUUUUAUGAGGCAAGCAUUACCUGACACCAAAACCAAACAAGGAUACCAUAAGAAAGUUACAAGCCAAUAUCCUUGAUAAACAUAGAUGCAAAAAUCCUCAAAAAAAAAAAAAUUAGCAAACCGAAUUCAACAAUACAUUAAAAGGAUCUCAUGUAGGAUUGAUUCCAGGGGUAUGAGGAUGGUUUAACUUCUGCAAACAAUGUGAUACAUCAUAUUAACAAAAUAAAGGAUAAACAUAUGAUCAUCUCAGUAGAUGUAGAAAAAGCAUUUGGCAAAAUUCAACAUCCCUUUAUGAUAAAAACUCUCAAUGAAGAGGUUAUAGAGGGAACAUACCUCAACACAAUAAAGGGCAUAUAUGACAAGCCCACAGAUAAUAUCAUACUGAGUGGUAAAAAGCUGGAGUCUUUUCUUAUAAGACCAGGAAUAAGAAAAUGAUGCAUAUUCUUGUCAUUUUUUAUUCAGCAUAGUAUUGGAAGACCUAGCCAGAGCAAUUAGGCAAGAAAAAGAAAAGGCAUUCAAAUCAUAAAGGAAAAGGUAAAACUGUCACUAUUUGCAGAUAACAUAUGAUAAUAUAAAAAGUCCUCCAAAGAUUCUCCCCCCCAAAACUGGUAGAGCUCAUAAAUGAUUUCAGUAAAGUUGCAGGAUACAAAAGCAAUAUACAGAAAUCUCUUGCAUUUCUACACACUAAUAACAAACUAUC